rnacentral:tRNA from 1 species
GGUGAGGUGGCCGAGCGGUCUAAGGCGCACGCUUGGAGCGCGUGUAUACCGAAAGGUAUCGUGGGUUCGAAUCCCACCCUCACCG